rnacentral:rRNA from 1 species
AUUGAACGCUGGCGGCAGGCCUAACACAUGCAAGUCGAACGAGUGGCGGACGGGUGAGUAAUGUCUGGGAAACUGCCUGAUGGAGGGGGAUAACUACUGGAAACGGUAGCUAAUACCGCAUACCCUCAGAUGUGCCCAGAUGGGAUUAGCUAGUUGGUGGGGUAACGGCUCACCAAGGCGACGAUCCCUAGCUGGUCUGAGAGGAUGACAGGCCAACCUGGACGUGAGACACGGACCGGACACCAACGGGAGGCAGCAGUGGGGAAGAUUGAAUAGUGGGCGGAAGCCUGAUGCAGCCAUGCCGGGGGUAUGAAGAAGGCCUGCGGGUUGUAAAGUACUUUCAGCGGGGAGACGUUACCCGCGGAAGAAGAACCGGCUACCUCCUGGCAAGCAGCCGGGUAAUAC